rnacentral:rRNA from 1 species
GUAGGGAAUAUUGGGCAAUGGAUGCAAGUCUGACCCAGCCAUCCCGCGUGCCGGAAGAAGGCCCUCAGGGUUGUAAACGGCUUUUGACGGUGAAGAAUCGACAGGAUGCGUCCUGUUUUGACGGUAGCCGUUGAAUAAGCACCGGCUAACUCCGUGCCAGCAGCCGCGGUAAUACGGAGGGUGCGAGCGUUGUCCGGAUUUAUUGGGUUUAAAGGGUGCGUAGGCUGGAAGGUCAGUCAGCGGUGAAAAGCUGUCGCUUAACGAUAGUCUUGCCGCAGAUACUUCCGUUCUUGGAUGAGGAGGAGGCCACUGGAACGGAUGGUGUAGCGGUGAAAUGCAUAGAUAUCAUCCAGAACACCGAUUGCGAAGGCAGGUGGCUGUACCUUAAUCGACGCUGAUGCACGAAAGCAUGGGGAGCAAACAGGAUUAGAAACCCGGGUAGUCC